rnacentral:rRNA from 1 species
UUGUUGCAGUUAAAAAGCUCGUAGUUGGACUUUAGGCAAGGCGGCCUGGUCACCCUCUGGGUGUACUGGGAUCGCUGCGCCUCACCUUCGGGGAGCUAGUCGUGCUUCGGUGCGCUAGGGAACCGAGCCUUACCUUGAGGAAAUUAGAGUGUUUAAAGCAGGCUUAUGCUUGAAUACGUUAGCAUGGAAUAACAUGAUAGGACUUUGGUUCUAUUUUGUUGGUUUGAGGACCAAAGUAAUGAUUAAUAGGGACAGUUGGGGGCAUUAGUAUUCAAUAGUCAGAGGUGAAACUCUUGGAUUUAUUGAAGACUAACUAAUGCGAAAGCAUUUGCCAAGGAUGUUUUCAUUAAUCAAGAACGAAAGUUAGGGGAUCGAAGACGAUUAGAUACCGUCGUAGUCUUAACCAUAAACUAUGCCGACUAGGGAUCGGUGGAAGUCGAUUUUGACUCCAUCGGCACCUUACGAGAAAUCAAAGUUUUUGGGUUCUGGGGGGAGUAUGGUCGCAAGGCUGAAACUUAAAGGAAUUGACGGAAGGGCACCACCAGGAGUGGAGCCUGCGGCUUAAUUUGACUCAACACGGGAAAACUCACCAGGUCCGGACAUGGGGAAGGAUUGACAGAUUGAGAGCU